UACGUAGGGGGCUAGCGUUGUCCGGAAUCAUUGGGCGUAAAGAGCGUGUAGGCGGCCCGGUAAGUCCGCUGUGAAAGUCGGGGGCUCAACCCUCGAAUGCCGGUGGAUACUGUCGGGCUAGAGUGCGGAAGAGGCGAGUGGAAUUCCUGGUGUAGCGGUGAAAUGCGCAGAUAUCAGGAGGAACACCGAUUGCGAAGGCAGCUCGCUGGGACGUAACUGACGCUGAGGCGCGAAAGCGUGGGGAGCGAACAGG
rnacentral:rRNA from 1 species